rnacentral:siRNA from 1 species
UGUGCUGAGAUGACUUUUACUGAA